rnacentral:rRNA from 1 species
AUUGAACGCUGGCGGCAUGCCUUACACAUGCAAGUCGAACGGCAGCACGGGAGCAAUCCUGGUGGCGAGUGGCGAACGGGUGAGUAAUAUAUCGGAACGUGCCCAGUCGUGGGGGAUAACGCAGCGAAAGCUGUGCUAAUACCGCAUACGAUAUAAGGAUGAAAGCGGGGGAUCGCAAGACCUCGCGCGAUUGGAGCGGCCGAUAUCAGAUUAGGUAGUUGGUGGGGUAAAGGCCGACCAAGGCGACGAUCUGUAGCUGGUCUGAGAGGACGACCAUCCACACUGGAACUGAGACACGGUCCAGACUCCUACGGGAGGCAGCAGUGGGGAAUUUUGGACAAUGGGCGCAAGCCUGAUCCAGCAAUGCCGCGUGCAGGAUGAAGGCCUUCGGGUUGUAAACUGCUUUUGUACGGAACGAAACGGCCCUUUCUAAUACAGGGGGCUAAUGACGGUACCGUAAGAAUAAGCACCGGCUAACUACGUGCCAGCCGCCGCCGUAA